rnacentral:rRNA from 1 species
AGCAGCCGCGGUAAUUCCAGCUCCAAUAGCGUAUAUUAAAGUUGUUGCAGUUAAAAGCUCGUAGUUGAAUUUCGGGGCUAGCAGGUCGGUCGUGCCAUUGGUAUGAACUGGUCUCGCUGAUCCCUCCCUCUUGACGAACUGUGAUGCCAUUAAUUUGGUGUCGCAGGGAAUCAGGACUGUUACUUUGAAAAAUUGAGUGUUUAAAGCAGGCUCACGCUUGAAUACAUUAGCAUGGAAUAAUGAAAUAGGACGUUUGAUCCUAUUUUGUUGGCUUCUAGGAUUGACGUAAUGAUUAAUAGGGAUAGUUGGGGGCAUUAGUAUUCAAUUGUCGGAGGUGAAAUUCUUGGA